rnacentral:snRNA from 1 species
UAACUUACCUGGACGGGGUCUAUGGUUGAUCACGAAGGCCCAUGGCCUAAGACAAUAACUUUCAUUUCACAUUGGAGGGGUACUGCAAUAAGGUCUGUAAAAAACGGCAGAGCCUACGUCAUAAUUUGUGACAGUGGAGCUUGCGUUCGCGCAACUCCUU